rnacentral:rRNA from 1 species
AGAGAUCAUGGCUCAGAUUGAACGCUGGCGGAAUGCUUUACACAUGCAAGUCGAGCGGCAGCGCGGGGCAACCUGGCGGCGAGCGGCGAACGGGUGAGUAAUGCAUCGGAACAUGUCCAUGUCGUGGGGGAUAGCCCGGCGAAAGCCGGAUUAAUACCGCAUACGCCCUGAGGGGGAAAGUGGGGGACCGCAAGGCCUCACGCGAUUGGGUUGGCCGAUGUCCGAUUAGCUAGUUGGCGGGGUAAGAGCCCACCAAGGCGAUGAUCGGUAGCUGGUCUGAGAGGAUGAUCAGCCACACUGGGACUGAGACACGGCCCAGACUCCUACGGGAGGCAGCAGUGGGGAAUUUUGGACAAUGGGGGCAACCCUGAUCCAGCCAUUCCGCGUGAGUGAAGAAGGCCUUCGGGUUGUAAAGCUCUUUUGUCCGGAACGAAACGGAUACGUCUAAUACGCGUGUCUACUGACGGUACCGGAAGAAUAAGCACCGGCUAACUACGUGCCAGCAGCCGCGGUAAUACGUAGGGUGCGAGCGUUAAUCGGAAUUACUGGGCGUAAAGCGUGCGCAGGCGGUUUUGUAAGCCAGAUGUGAAAGCCCCGGGCUUAACCUGGGAAUGGCAUUUGGGACUGCAAGGCUUGAGUGCGGCAGAGGAGACUGGAAUUCCUGGUGUAGCAGUGAAAUGCGUAGAUAUCAGGAGGAAUACCGAUGGCGAAGGCAGGUCUCUGGGCUGACACUGACGCUCAUGCACGAAAGCGUGGGGAGCAAACAGGAUUAGAUACCCUGGUAGUCCACGCCCUAAACGAUGUCGACUGGUUGUUGGGGGUUUGACACUCUCAGUAACGAAGCUAACCCGUGAA